CAUCUUAGCUACUGGUGGCGCAACGAUCGAGCCACGAAAUUCCGGCCUCGUUCGGCAAGGAUGGAAACUGGACGUCUAUUGUCAUUUAACCCCCUUGCCCUGGGAAGAUGCACAAGCAGAGAUGACCGCCUCUGUGGUCUAGUGGUAGAGCGUCUUCCUGAAGAGCGGAAGGCCGGGGGUUCAAUCCCGGGCCAAGUCAUACCAAAAGACGUUAAAAUAUGGUACUUGUUGAUACACUGCGGCAUACGCUAAAACAUGGGCUCAACCCAUUUCACCUCACUACCACCUCCGAGCAGAGAUUAUUCAUUCAGUACAAAAACUCGCAAACAUAACUACCUAAUGGGCCGGUCUCGAUUUAUUCCGUUUCUACUUUAACCAAAAAACAUUUGUAGAGUGGGGAGCUAAUUUAUCAAGAUCAACCUACAGACAAACUGUGUCUGCCAGAUGUUAAAUCGCAGUCAUAGGAUCUUGUCCAGUGAAAAAUAGACAUUAGAUCACAUGGUACACAUCCACAUCUCCUCAAAUAAAUUGAGGCAUCUACAUUUAGAAGGAUUGUUUGCUGCAGGUGUAUUCCAUGCAAAGUGGUAUGCUCGGACGUGUCAAUGAUAGAGAACUCGCACAAUAUCAGGAUGAAUGCGAACUAUUCCAGAUGUGCCUACAAACAAACCUUGCUUUAACAAACCACUUUGAACCAGCUGGUUCCAAGAAACACUUUCUCUCCAAGCACACUGAAUGUAUGCCAACCCCUGUGCGGUAACAGUUCUCUAGACUCGACAGUACAGCAGAGAUAUCUCCAUGGUGUUGUACCUUUAGAUAUGCUAAGGUUGUGUUUUUUCAGUUUCCUGUUUUCAUGAAAUGUGUAUCCUUAGCUGUUUCUCGGGUUAUGUUCAUCGAUGAUGUAGUAUGUUGAAGGCAGUAAAAUUAUCUGAGAGAGGAUUUUGAUAUUCUGCACCCCUCCCUCAAAAUGCUGGAUCUAUCCUUGUUAAUCAACAUUUGCUCACUUACUGGCUGGAUGGCUCACUCACUCACUCACCCUUACUCAGCAAAGUAUGUUUUCACUCUUAAAAUACUGCUUGUAUAUUCAAAUCAAAACUGUUUCAAUGAACUGACACCACAAGCAUAGAAUAUAUGUGGGGUCUGUAAUGGAAGGCUUCCUGAGCUCUCUAUUCAGCUGUGUUAAAAAAGGCAAAGAAACAACGCUCUUAAGACCCACUUCUAACAAGGUAAAGUAGGUCAUUUAAACAAUCUGACAAAUUGAAAGUGUGAGGUUUCAAAAGUCCUUUAUUUGCAUAAAUUCACUAUAUGACAAAAUGUACAGAUGAACUGAAAUCACAAAGGCACACCCUUAGUUAGCCUCAUCCUAGUCCUGGAAAUAAGCAUACCAUGAACUCAUUAUAGAAGAAUAUGUGGAAUGUUCACCUAAAUUUUCCCAUAAUAUUAAAUUUUUCCCACAGUUGACCAGGGCUUACUUACAUUAUGGUUUAUAUAUGAUAUUAGGUAUAUUAUGGUGCCUGAAAGAAACAAGGAACUUUUUAUUGUCAUAUA